AGAAGUCAAGCAGGAGGUGGAGUAAAGCUGAGCAGUCAGUUAAUAAAAAGUUUAAGCCUUCACCGACAUCUGAACAGGAAGAACAGUCAUUUGAAAACAACCCUCCUGAUUUGCUCAGUUCAGCAGAAUGUGUGUCAGAAAAUCAUGAUCAUCCUUCUGAAGCUACUCUAGAGCAUGAAGAUCGAGAUCCUAGAGCAUCAGUGGAAAAUGCUUCAUUGGAAGACUUAGCAGAAGGAAAAAAUGUAGGCAUUAAUAAGGACCCUAAAGAAAGUGCAUCCCCAGUUGUAGCAGCAACAGAACAAACAGUAAAUGAAGGGAGUCAAGCUGCCGCAGCAGCUCCCAAUCCAAAAGCACUCAGACGGUCCUCAAGGCGGCGUUCAGAAGCAGUAGAGUCUUCUGGUGACAGCCAGGAGAAGGAAAGUGGUCAACAAAAAAGGGAAAGACGAAAAGAAGAAGAAAGGACAAUUUCAAAGAGUCCAUGUCAUAUCAAAGAUGAUAAGUUGCCCAAGCAAAAACUAACGGCUGAGCCACCUAUACAGGAAAAUUUAACUGAAAAAGAAAAUAGUUUACAGGAGAGAACUUUAGGGGAACCCAGCGCUAAUGCUGAAAUUGACCAAAAUAGAAGAAAACCUGACCUUGAGACCGUUAGCUCUGAGGGAGGUGGUGGCACUUUGGACAAUGUAGAUAAGUCAUCUGAGAAGCCUUUAAGAGGUCGGACACGUUAUCAAACAAGAAGAGCUUCUCAGGGUUUGAUUUCCGGUGUUGAAAACUCAGAAUCUGAUAGUUCUGAGGCAAAGGAAGAAGUUUCUAGAAAGAAACGAUCAGGAAAAUGGAAAAAUAAAAGUAGUGACAGUGUUGAUAUUGAAGAACAAGAAGAAAAAA
rnacentral:lncRNA from 1 species